GGCCUCCCUCUGUUGGGUGAUUGAUCUGGGGGCCCCAUGAUUAAUUGCCCCACAGCGGGAGGCC
rnacentral:pre_miRNA from 1 species